UACGGAGGGUGCAAGCGUUAAUCGGAAUUACUGGGCGUAAAGCGCACGCAGGCGGUCUGUCAAGUCGGCUGUGAAAUCCCCGGGCUCAACCUGGGAACUGCGUUCGAAACUGGCAGGCUAGAGUCUUGUAGAGGGGGGUAGAAUUCCAGGUGUAGCGGUGAAAUGCGUAGAGAUCUGGAGGAAUACCGGUGGCGAAGGCGGCCCCCUGGACAAAGACUGACGCUCAGGUGCGAAAGCGUGGGGAGCAAACAGG
rnacentral:rRNA from 1 species